rnacentral:lncRNA from 1 species
AUGGGGAAAACUCAGAAUUGGGUCCCUAAUCCCACAGCUCCUGGUGUGUUCCCAAAGCGAGAAAUGGGGGAACAAUGGGAAGAACUCAGAGUUGAGUCCCUAAUUCCAGAGCUGUCAGAGCAUUCCCAAAGCAAGAAAUGGGGGAAUGGGAAAAGCCUGGAUGAGCACCUAAUCCCACAGUUGUUAGGAUGUUCCCAAAGUGAGAAAUGGGGGAACAGUGGGAAGAAGUCAGAAGAGUCCCUAAUCCCAGAGCUGUUGGGAUGUUCCCAAAGUGAGAAAUGGGGGAACAGUGGGGAAAACUCAGAAUUGGAUCCCUAAUCCCACAGCUCUUGGUGUGUUCCCAAAGUGAGAAAUGGGGAACACUUUCUCAGAGUCCCUGAUCCCACAGCUGCUAGGGCAUUCCCAAAGUGAAAAUUGUGGAAACAGUGGGAAGAACUCAGAAGAGUCCCUAAUCCCAGAGUUGCCAGGAUAUUCCCCAAGGGAGGGAUGAAAAAACACUCCCACCCCCACCUUUGCCAGGGCACAGCCCUUCUCAAAACCUCAGCACAGUUUGAGUCUGCACUCGAAAUUCUGACUUUAAAGAAAAGCUAUUUAUACAUUUCAGGGUGAAAUCAGUGGAGAAAUCUUAAUUUCUUCCCAGUGCUCUCAUUGGGGUUCUGGAAAAUAUUUCCUGGCUGGCUGCAAUGUGCUCCUUGCUGUUGCUUAGAUUAUCCCUGGAGGAUUUCUGUCCUAAAAACUAAGCAAGGCAAGGGGGAGAUUCUUCAGCUGAAGAAUUCCUUUUCACAAAAAAGAGUGAUUUCCAAAGGUAAAAAAUAGCAAAGGAUGUUACUUGAAAGAGGCAGGAACUUGGUGGUGGAUUUUCCAGAAGAGUUUGCACACUGUAACAUUUCACUGUGCUGCUGAGAAACCAGCUUUUAAGUACUUGCAACAGAAUUUUUAUUGUUCCUAAAUGAUAGAACAGGAAUGCUGGCAGCCUGUCCUGACUUAAUUCAGUAUCAUUUGAAAGGAGGCUUUAUAAAUCCCUGACUGAAGGAUUAUAAAGUACCUUAGCAGCCACUUACAGGUAAUUAUUGGAGUUUAUUUGAAUAAGCUGAUUAUUGUAGCAUGCAUGUGUUCAGAAUUUAGGUGAGAACAGCCCAGCAGGAAUUUUUUAUUUUCAUAUUCCUCUGCCUUAGGGACAGCUCAGUCUUUUACUGCAACUGCAGCUUCUCUUUAUGACCAGAUGUUUGUGAUACAGCAAGAAAUGGAAUGAAAAAUCUCUUGCAGGACACUUAAAAUAUUUCAGAUGUAUCUGCACAGCUCAUCCCAUGGCAGGAAAACAAGAUUUAACUCCAGCCAUUAAACCAGAGGCUAAACUAGAAUUUAUGCUUUACUGAAGAGAUGUGUUUUUUACCUUUGGAAUACAAAAUAAGUGAGAUUUCAGUGACCUGAAGCACAUUUUAGGUGGCUUUGGUCUUCAUUGCUGGGUGCCUGUCCUGUGAGUGUUGCACAGUGCAGAGGUGAAAUUCCAGGUGCUGCAGGCUGGGAUAGAAAUAUUGAUAAGAUUUCAUUCCUCACUUUUCCUCCUCGAUUUAAAAAGCUGUCUGAAUUGAAGACUCUAAUAUUUUGUUUUAUUUUUUUUUUAUUUGCACACCACGAGACUUUAUAGAAAAAACUACUUGUAUCCUGCUAGAGGCCAGUAAAAGCCAGCAAUUAGUUUGUGUUUUUAGGCUUUCCUGGGGUAUUCCCUGGAUCACAAGUGUGGAGCAUCCUGAUAAAGCUCGUGAGUUUUAUCUAUGCAUGGCUAAAUUUUAGUCUUAAUAUCCUGUAGUGCCUGUAGAGCAAAGGUAGCUAGCAGUGGGGUUUGUGGGGGGGGGCUGCCAGGGGUUUACAGCUAAAUCCAGUUGGUUGCAUGAAAUUAUUUCAGAGCCCAGAAUUUUCAGGAGUCCCAGAAUUCUGGUGGUAAAGCUGCAAAUCCAAAGGGGCAUUAGGAAAUUGAGCCCCAAUUGGAAUUGCUUUGCCAGUGAACUGGGUGUAAACCCAGCUGUUCCAGUCCCAGUUCUCUCACCUGCAAAGCCAUAUUUUUAGAGUAGUGGGAUGUGAUGUGGGAAGAAAUUCCAGUGGUUGGGACAGCAGGCACGUGGUGGAGGCUUUGUCUCAACUCGUGAGUGGAUCCAGAGUAGAUUUAAGUGCAAUUGAUUGAAAAUAGAUGAAAAUGCUGUCGCUGAUUUUUGCUCUGCUGAACUCUUUUUUUAAGAACUCCAAUUUGUGCAGCUCUCAAAUCAAUUUGGAUGGGGCUGAUCCAGCUGGAAUUUCAAGCCCUGUGAACAAAAAAAAAAAAAAAAAAGAAAGAAAAAAAAAAAAAGGAAAUAAUUGGGGUGUGACUGUGCAAAUUGAGCUGUUCCUUAAAAAAACUGGGGCAGGAGAGCUUGGAACAAAGGCCUAGAACCCUCCUGUGCUGUGCUGCAUGUGCUCUAUGGUCAUAGCUGUGUAUUACAAAGACCUUUCACCAGACUGGUACUGGCUCAAUUAAUGUAUUUUGGUAUUGAAAGAAAUUGAUUACCUCAAUUUUUAUCGUUUAUUUUUCAACUGUGACUUUCAACCAGAACGGGAAAAAAAAAAAAAGAAAAAAGAAAAAAAAACCACAAAAAUACCGAAAUAGUGAAACUGUGACAAUGGUAUCCUUUAAAUGUUGUAGUGCCUUGCAGAUGACACCAUUUAUUCCCCAAAUAAAUGGAUGUCAGGGGUUGCACCCCCUUUGUCUUUUUUUUAAAGGAAAAAUAACGGUUUUGGUGAAAGGACUUAAAAAUUUAACCUAGUGACAAAUAUUAGCACAAAUGGUUAAACUGUUUAAAAGAAAACUCUUUGAGGACUGAGAUAUGUAAAUGCCUGAUGCUGCUGCUGUUGAAGAGCAGUUGCUGAUUUUUUGGGAGUCGAUUCUAACGAUCAGCAGCUCUUUUUGAAUUUUUUUUUUUUUUAAAUUUUAUUAAGAAGAGUGUAACUUUUGUACUCUGGUCAGAGCUGGUUUUGUACUUUGUGGAAUCCCCAGCCCAGGGGGUUUGGUGUCCUCACUCCAUGGAAGUCAAGGUGAGGAUGGAGAUAACUCUGAAGGAUUGAGGUUUGAACUUUUUUUGCUACUGUAUAAUUAAAAACCAACAACAACAACAACAAAAAAAAGCACCAUUUCUAACCCACUGAUGUUUGGAUACAGCAAAAGUGCCAUUACACUGUUCCUUUUCUCUUUUACUGUACUUGGAAAAAUUUGUGUCCAGGCAUUCCUGAGCUUGGGAAGUGCUGAAGAGUCCUCAAGGGGUUUCCACGCUUUGCUGACUGUGUUAGCAGCUUGUGGUGGUGUUUUUUUCUUUCUCCUCAGAGAAUGAGUGUGAUCAGAAGUUACUGAAGUUAUAGGGAUUCAAAUGUGACAAACUUAGCAGGGGAACCUUUGCAACUGGAGCUGCUCUGCAAUCUGGGAGUAUUUGAAUUUUAAGCUGUGCAAUUUGGGAUUAAUCCAGUUUUACACUUUGCAAUUAACACACCUGAUUGCAGGGAGGAGUUAAGUUGCAUGUGAGGGUUCCCUAAUAAGUUGAGCUUUUUUUUUUUUUUUAAUUAUUAUUUUUUAAAUUGAAACUUGUCUGAAUUUGCACAGAUUUAAGCUCUAGAAUACUUUGGUAUUCUUGAAAAGGGAAAAAAAAUUGUGACUAGUAUAGUGAAUUGUGAACUGUGAGUUGGUAGAAUCACAAGGUUGAUCUAAUCUUAGGUUGUUAAAAAUGUACCUCAGAAAGCUCAUGAGAAAUUUGCUUCAUUUUUACACAACAACCAGAUCCUGACAUAACACUUCUCACUUUACAAUGUGCCAAAAUUCACUUUUAUACUAGUUCUCAGUGCUUUAAUAUUUGCAACUCUAAGUUAAAAACGUGUUAUUUACAAACACUACUGUAACUUCAGUUCAGCUGAAUGGUGUGAUUGAAGCUUUUUGCCUCUCCUAUUUAUUACACAACUUGAUUCAGUAAAUAUAAAAUGACCUUUCCAUUUAUUUUUGUAUUGUUUUACAUGUUUAUACCUGCAGUUUGUGUGACUUUUACUCCUGUAACUCAGAUGUGAUGGAAAGAACCAAUAAACAGUAUCCAUCCACUGCCUGGCUCUGACUCCUUUAAUAAACUCACAGGUUCCUAAACUGGAAUUUUUAAGCUUUGAGUGGUUUUCAUUUGAAACUUUUAAGAUGGCAGAAAGGCAAGUUGUUUACAUUUAAAUUAAAAUAUAAAAACUUAAGGUUUUGUGGGAUUUUUUAGCUGCUGUUUUAAGUUCAGACCUUCUUGCUUGGGCUUUUAAUUGGGUAAAAUUCAAAUUAGAAGAAGAAGAUUAAUCUGCUUUGUGCUGCAGUCUCUGUUUCUCAGCAGCUGUGUGUGAGCAUAAGUUGAUAUUUACAGAUUUACAAAUACAGGGAGGUGCUAAACCUUUUCUGUGUGCUCCCAGAAAUGAGGAUGCAGCUUCAAGCUCCCUGGAUCUGCAACCCACGGGGAGGGCAAUCCCACCUUACCCUUCUUUCCCUGAGGGGCUGGGCAUGGAUCAGAUUUUUGCUGGUUAAACUCUGCCUGCAGCUGAUUUUCUCUCUCUGUUUUG